GACGAACGCUGGCGGCGUGCCUAAUACAUGCAAGUUGAGCGCUGAAGGUUGGUACUUGUACCAACUGGAUGAGCAGCGAACGGGUGAGUAACGCGUGGGGAAUCUGCCUUUGAGCGGGGGACAACAUUUGGAAACGAAUGCUAAUACCGCAUAAAAACUUUAAACACAAGUUUUAAGUUUGAAAGAUGCAAUUGCAUCACUCAAAGAUGAUCCCGCGUUGUAUUAGCUAGUUGGUGAGGUAAAGGCUCACCAAGGCGAUGAUACAUAGCCGACCUGAGAGGGUGAUCGGCAACAUUGGGCCUGAGACACGGCCCAAACUCCUACGGGAGGCAGCAGUAGGGAAUCUUCGGCAAUGGACGAAAGUCUGACCGAGCAACGCCGCGUGAGUGAAGAAGGUUUUCGGAUCGUAAAACUCUGUUGGUAGAGAAGAACGUUUGUGAGAGUGGAAAGCUCAUCAAGUGACGGUAACUACCCAGAAAGGGACGGCUAACUACGUG
rnacentral:rRNA from 1 species